UACGUAGGGUGCGAGCGUUAAUCGGAAUUACUGGGCGUAAAGCGUGCGCAGGCGGUUCGCUGUGUCCGAUGUGAAAGCCCCGGGCUUAACCUGGGAAUGGCAUUGGAAACUGGCGGGCUUGAGUGUGGCAGAGGGGGGUGGAAUUCCGCGUGUAGCAGUGAAAUGCGUAGAGAUGCGGAGGAACACCGAUGGCGAAGGCAGCCCCCUGGGCUGACACUGACGCUCAGGCACGAAAGCGUGGGGAGCAAACAGG
rnacentral:rRNA from 1 species